CAAUAGUGUAUCUUAAUGUUGUUGCUGUUAAAAAGCUCGUAGUUGAAUUUCUGGCCAUCUAGCUAAGGUUCGUCCGAGGCAGGAAGGUCAUCCGCGUUGAAAGUAUGUAUGCCGAAUAAGCUGCAUAUCGAAGACGUAUUUUACUUUGAAGAAAUUAGAGUGUUCCAGGCAAGCGAUGCUUGAAUAUUACAGCAUGGAAUAAUGGAAUAGGACUAUCCAUUCUGUUGGUUAAUGGAUCAGUAAUGAUUAACAGGGACAGUUGGGGGCGAUUCGUACUGGGCAGUCAGUGGUAAAAUACUGUGACCUGCUCAAGACGCACUAAUGCGAAAGCAUUUGCCAAGGAUGUUUUCAUUAAUCAAGAACGAAAGUUAGGGGAUCAAAGACGAUCAGAUACCAU
rnacentral:rRNA from 1 species